rnacentral:rRNA from 1 species
GCAAGCGUUAUCCGGUUUUAUUGGGUUUAAAGGGUGCGUAGGCGGCUUAUUAAGUCAGUUGUGAAAUCCUAGUGCUUAACGCUAGAACUGCGAUUGAUACUAUUAGGCUUGAGUUAAGAAGAGGUAGGCAGAAUUUAUGGUGUAGUAGUGAAAUGCUUAGAUAUCAUAAGGAAUACCAAUAGCGUAGGCAGCUUACUGGUCUUUAACUGACGCUGAGGCACGAAAGCGUGGGGAGCAAACAGGAUUAGAUACCCUGGUAGUCCACGCCGUAAACGAUGAUCACUCGAUAUACAUGAUGCGUCAUGUGUGUCUAAGCGAAAGCG